rnacentral:lncRNA from 1 species
CUCUGCCACCUCAGGCCCAUCCAGUAGCUCUGCAUUGACAGCCCUCUAGGCUAAGUUCUUAAUGCGUUUCAUUCCAUGGUAUAUUGUUUAGAUUAUCUUAUUACUGGUAAUGCUAACUUGACCACUUGGGUUUACAGUGCUGUCUGCAAGGUUUCUCUAUUGUAAAGUUGAUUUUUUUCCUCAAAGUAUUUUGUAAAGGGUUACUUUCAAACUAUCACAUUCUUCAACAUGUUGUUACUGAGUUCAUGUAUUUAGAUUGGGAUAGACUUGUGGAUUUUUAAUGUCUUAUAAUCCAUUAUCAUUUUUAUUGUAAUGUUCAAAUUGUCCCAGUCUGACCAGUGAGAAUCCCUUAAAGAUGGCUUCUGUAUCCUCCUGAAUUGACCCUAUUACUUUUUUAUUUUCACACACAACAAGAUGUACGAGGCUUGUCCUAUAUUUUCCCUGCCCUAGGCCUGGAAUUAUUCAUUUUCCCAAGGAAUUCUGGUCCCUUUUAGUAGAAAAUGGUGUUUAGAGACCAAGAUCUGAGUUCUAGGCGUGCUAAUUGCUACUGGUAUGUUGCUUCUCCCAGGCCCUCUCAGGGGAGACUUGACAUGAAGCAAGAACCAAGAGAUCUCUGGAAUAAUUAAGAAAGAAAAAAAUCCCCUCUCUUCAAACAAUUUGGUCCAAAACUACCAGAUGAAGCCAAAAUGGGAGAACGGAACCUGAUGCCUCCUGGGCCAGUUCAAAUGGUCUCCCUGAGAAUUUGGACUUCUCAAAGAGAAAGUUAUCUGUGUGUAUGGACUAAAACACACAGCACUUUGGAAAUGAUGGCAGUCAGAUUCUGCCACUGAGGAGAGGAGGAAGUCCAUCUGAGCAUCUCUCAGAAGUGCAGGUCAUCAGCAAUUCGUAGAGCAGCUCUAACCACAAUCAAGCUCGCAAGGACACUCAUGAGAAGUUUUUCUAUUUGAGAAACACAAACAGCUCCAUCGAUCUUACUAACACCCUAGAGGUAAGUGUGAGAACCAUCAAAAUGGUCUUGGGGUUGGCGUGAGGAGAAGGGAUGGCAUAAUGAUUCGUGAGUUGUUUCCGGACUUUGCCAAAAAGCAUUGCUGGGAAGUGGAGACUGGGUGUGGUUAAAUUUUCAGGAUCUUAGAAUGUCAUUGCAGGCAGGAAACUCCAAGAUUAUCCAGUGCAUAACCCUCUGAGCCUCUGAGAAAGGAAGUGACUCUGUCCAGAGUCACACAUGUAGUUGGUGGCAGAGCCAAGUCUAGAAUUUAGAUCUUCCCAAAUAAGCUCAGUGUUCAAGAAUACGCUCUACAAAUAGUAAGUCCUUGUACUGUAGGCCCCAAACAAAAUUACUAUGAAUAAAACUCAUGACCGUGUGUAAGGCA